rnacentral:rRNA from 1 species
CCCGCUGAACUUAAGCAUAUCAAUAAGCGGAGGAAAAGAAACUAACAAGGAUUCCCCUAGUAACUGCGAGUGAAGCGGGAAAAGCUCAAAUUUAAAAUCUGGCAGUCUCUGGCUGUCCGAGUUGUAAUCUAGAGAAGCAUUAUCCGCGCUGGACCGUGUACAAGUCUCCUGGAAUGGAGCGUCAUAGAGGGUGAGAAUCCCGUCUUUGACACGGACUGCCAGGGCUUUGUGAUGUGCUCUCAAAGAGUCGAGUUGUUUGGGAAUGCAGCUCAAAAUGGGUGGUAAAUUCCAUCUAAAGCUAAAUACAGAGGAGAGACCGAUAGCGAACAAGUACCGUGAGGGAAAGAUGAAAAGAACUUUGGAAAGAGAGUUAAACAGUACGUGAAAUUGCUGAAAGGGAAACGCUUGAAGUCAGUCGCGUUUGGCGGGACUCAGCCUUGCUUUUGCUUGGUGUACUUCCUGUCAGAUGGGUCAACAUCAGUUUUGACCGGUGGAUAAGGGCUUGGAGAAUGUGGCAUCUUCGGGUGUGUUAUAGCUUCAGGUCGUAUACAUCGGUUGGGACUGAGGAACUCAGCACGCCGAAAGGCCGGGUACUUGUACCACGUUCGUGCUUAGGAUGUUGGCAUAAUGGCUUUAAUCGACCCGUCUUGAAACACGG